GCAUUUGAUCAUAAAAGGACAAGAGAGAAGAAGUGGUUAUAAGAUGUCAACAUUUGUUUCCAGUUCCCGUCAGAGACAAAGAAACACAAACCCAAGGAUUGAAUCACUUGGUGGUCCAGUAAAAGAAUGCAUUCUCCUCAGCUAUCUGGAGAAGUUCAAGAUUGUCUUUGAUAAAAGAAUAUUUACCAGGUGUCUGAAAAUACCAAGCUGGAGAAUUAGUCUAUGGUGAUUAAAAACUCUCAAAGCAUGUCUUACCAACUGGAGAAUUUUUCCUAUGUCAACCAAAGGGACCUCCCAGUGCCAAGUGUAUAAGUGUGUCUGGAAUUGG
rnacentral:lncRNA from 10 species